rnacentral:rRNA from 1 species
UGGGGAAUUUUGGACAAUGGGCGAAAGCCUGAUCCAGCAAUGCCGCGUGAGUGAAGAAGGCCUUCGGGUUGUAAAGCUCUUUUGUCAGGGAAGAAACGGUGAGAGCUAAUAUCUCUUGCUAAUGACGGUACCUGAAGAAUAAGCACCGGCUAACUACGUGCCAGCAGCCGCGGUAAUACGUAGGGUGCAAGCGUUAAUCGGAAUUACUGGGCGUAAAGCGUGCGCAGGCGGUUUUGUAAGUCUGAUGUGAAAUCCCCGGGCUCAACCUGGGAAUUGCAUUGGAGACUGCAAGGCUAGAAUCUGGCAGAGGGGGGUAGAAUUCCACGUGUAGCAGUGAAAUGCGUAGAUAUGUGGAGGAACACCGAUGGCGAAGGCAGCCCCCUGGGUCAAGAUUGACGCUCAUGCACGAAAGCGUGGGGAGCAAACAGGAUUAGAUACCCAUGUAGUCCCUGAGCGGGC